rnacentral:sRNA from 1 species
GCAGAAUUAUCCACGAGUUUUGAGCAGCCUCGGUUUUCCCACCACCUCCAAACCAUGCAAGACACAGGGUAAGAGCAAAGACAAGGUGGCUGUGGCCGAUGUCCACCCUCUCGGGGCGUCCUUUCUCUUCUCUCCUCCUUGGGCAGGGAGACCAUCGGGGUGCAACCUGGCUGGGGCGGGGAGGAGGUGCAGGGCCUGGCCGGAGCGGGCCUGGCCACGGCCAGGGGACAGCGACCGCCUAGGCCGGGGCAGGUGAGCGCGGCGCAGGCCCCGGCACGGCGUUUCCGCGGUGCGCGCGAGCGGCCAGCAGAGGGCGCCAGAGAGCCAGGAGCGGCCCACGGAGGAGCCCGCGCCGGCCCCGACGCCCAGCUCCGCGCCGCGCAGACCCACCGAGCCCGCGCUCAGACGCCCCAGCUCCGACGAGAGGCCGCUCGCGCCGGGUCCUUCCUCUUCCCCAAGUGCAGGCAGAGCCCCCGGAGCAAUGGCCAGUCCUUCCGGCAGCUCCGAAGACACUGGCAAGCCCCGAGGCAGGGAUGGCCGGCCCAGGAGGGAGGAGGACGACGUCCCUUCCGAGGGGAAGAGGCUGCGGCUGUUGCUGGAGGGGGGGAAGCGCACAGCCCGAGGACUGCGAGGACGGGGAGGACGCGCCGCGGCCGGGCAGGGAGGAGACCGGCACCCAGACAGGUGGCGACGGCAGAGGAGAACAGAGAAGUUGCCCAUGACUCUGUGAUCUGUUUUGUCCAAUGAACCAUGAGCAGGAGCAACUUGAGUCACCUCCAGGUGGAAGUGCUAAGAGGCUCUGUGAUCCACCACAUUCCCUUUCCCCUGAAGUGAUGAUCAAGGACACAUGCAGAGAUGGGACUUUUGUCAACCUGGAUCCCUGAGUGAACACAAUGAACAGACCACCCCACAAUGCCCUAACACAGCCCAGACAUGUAACAUGACCAAGAAUAAGCCUCACUGUGGCCAGACAUGGUGGCUCAUGCCUGUCAUCCCAGCACUUUGGGAGGCCAAGGCAGGUGGAUCAUUUGAGGUCAGGAGUUCAAGACCAGCCUGGCUAACAUGGUGAAAUCCUGUCUCUACUAAGCACAAAAAUUAGCCAGACAGUAGUGGAAUGGGCCUGUAAUCCCAGCUACUCAGGAGGCAGAGAAUCGCUUGAGUCUAGGAGGCAGAGGUUGCAGUGAGCUGAGAUUGCACCACUGCACUCUAGUCUGGGUGACAGAGUGAGACCCUGUCUCAAAAACAAACAAGCAAACAAAUACCUCACUGCAUGGAGCCACUGAGAUUUGGGGAUUGUUGUUACUGCACCAGAACCCAAAUCAUCCUGACCACUAGACUGUCCUAACUAGGGUUUCUUACCAAAAGCAAAGGCAUUUUUGAAGUUCGUGACAUUUAAACAAAAGAGCUUAUACCAAUAUCUGCCACUUUGUCAGGCUAACAAAUGCAAACAAAGCCAACAGCCAGAAGUUAAAAGAAACAGAUUAGGUUGAAAACAGAACUGUCAAAACAGGCAAAAUGGACUUCGUUUAGUGAUUGCAAAGAACAUCAGGCAAGACAUAGGUGUGGUCAUCACAUAAUUUAUCACAUGCUUAAUUGCACAUGUUUGACUAAGAAAAACACAAAGUAUUUAAGCUCAUCUGUAGUUCAAAGUGCCUAUCCGUGUAUUUAUCCAUUCAUCCUGAUUAAUUUAUUGAGCAACUCUUUUGUGCCAGGCACUG